GACUAUUAAUUUAAAAAUCACGUCUUCUGCAGCUGCUGUCGCCAUCGCUCCUCUGUCGUUGCCUUCGCCUUCACCGUCGCUCCUCUUCUGCUACCUUCACCGUCGCUCCUCUGCAACUGCCGUAGCUGUUGUCACUCCUUGCUGCCAUUGUAGUCGUCAUGCCACUAUCAUCGUCGCUCCUCUGCCAAUGUCGUCGCUCCUCUGUUGCUGUUCCUCUAUUGUCGCUCCUUCGCCUCUGCUGUCGUCGGUCCUCUUCCCUUGGUGACAUCGCUCCUCUCCUUUGGUGUCGUCGUUGCUUUGCCUCCGUUCAUUGUUUUAAGAAAUUGGGAGAAUAAUAUUUGAACUUUGAGACUAUAUUCAGUCUUG
rnacentral:lncRNA from 1 species